rfam:Methanolobus tindarius DSM 2278 MettiDRAFT_Contig28.1_C, whole genome shotgun sequence.
GGUCCCGUGGCUUAGCCAGGAUAUAGCAUCGGGCUUCUAACCCGAGGGUCAGGGGUUCAAAUCCCUUCGGGAUCG